GCAGUUCGCUGAGGACCCCUACAAAUUGUGACCCAUAGUAACUGGAUUUGUGUGUCUCUUUGCGGCUUGCCCAUAUUAGGCGCUUAAUUAAUUUUUGUUAACUGAUCAUUGAAUUAACCACAGGCAAAUUACCUUCGGAUUUCACCUCCAUAAAUCCGGACCCCGCAAUUCCUUUGACAGGCGGAAGGAGGACUCUGGCGAUGAUUAAUAAUCGUGCCGCAAGUUCUUCUGGCCAAAGGAAGGUGUGUUUCUCAGAAGUUCAGAGGUUACUCUCUAGUUCACCCUUUCUGUUUCACACGUGGGGAGACUAAGGGUCAGAGAAGUUGGUUCACCCAUCCAAACACGCACAGCACAGCUGAAAAGACAGUUACCCAAGUCUUGGACUAAGCUUUUCUCAGCCCAGACAGCAGCAGACGGCAGGCGUCGUCCGAACCCAUGGAAAUCCCUUUUCUCAUCUUUGGAAGGCUGACUAUGAAGACACCUCGGACUGAGCGGACUGUCUGCUGCUGCCUCGGGCCAUCCCAACUGGCUGAUUUGAGGAGGGGCCUGGGAUCCGCCACCUUCUCUCUGAUGCCAACUUAGAGCUAAAACAGCAGCAGCAGCAGCAGCUCUGCCCCCUGGUGGACAUGUGAGGCAGAGCGCCUCGAAUUUCAGAAGCCGCAUCUUGGCGGCGCAGAAAACACUUCUGUUUUCUGUUUUUUUCCCCUGGACUGCUUUUUCCCCCUGCCUGCUAGCCAAACCCUGCCUCCCCACACUCUCUUCAAAUUCUAUUUCAAAUUCCACCUCCUUCAUAACUUUCCUGACUCUCCUCUCCUAUGUGUCUUUUGAAAUACAGUUGUACACAGACCCAGCACACAGCUCCCUCUUACAUGCUGUUUUCACUGCUGUUUCCUUGAAGCCUGGGGCCAUGUCUUGUGCAUCUUUUGUGUUCACAGUGCCCAGCACAGGGCUGGGGUCAAAAACUGCUCUCAAUAAGCUGCUUAAGUGCUUAAUUAAUGGGUUAAUUUCUACAGAAGCAGCUCUAGGCCCUGGCUUCAGUUAACCUUCCAGAACUCUAAGUUCUUCGGGGGAAUCUAGAUAGUGAUCUAAUAAAAUAGAGCCUUGCACAAUCAGGAGUUUCACAAAGCAGUUUCACAAGGGAACACCACCACCACCACCCAGGGAGGGGUGAGGAAGUUUGCAGUGGACUCUCAGAGGAAGGAGGAGGAUGGUGGCGACAUGGGAGAGUCACAGGAUGAAAAACUAGGAAAGGGAGCCUCUGCUCCAGGGAUCAGAGAGGCAGCACAGGCUCUGGAGCCAGUUUUAGAUGCAGAUGCCACCACCCUCUGUGCGGCCUUGGGCAGGUUUCCUCUCUGUGCCUUAGUCUUGUCACCUGUAAGCACAAGUACCCAUCUCAUAGUGAGAUGAUGAGGAAAAAUUGAGAUGAUGGAGUUGAUAAUGUGCAAAGUGCCAGAAUAGUGCCUGGCACAUAGUUAAGUGCUAUAUAACAGUUUGUAAAUGAAUUUUUCAGCUUAGCUGUCAUGUAAAUGGAAUAGGGGGACAUCAUAUGAUCUUUCCGUUCUCUUCUGCACCGACCUCGCAGGGCAGUGCAAGAGCUUUGGGGUCAGUCAGGUCUGGGUUGGCUCUUGUCUCUGUUAGCAGUUAUGUCACCUUGGGCAGAUCACGCUGCUUCUUGGGACCUCAAUUUUCUUAUCUGAGAAAUGGGGAUAAUUGUGUCUCCCUAAAAAGACUGUUGUGUGCAUUACAUUGCUUGUAAAUGCCUGGUAUAGAAGGAGCUUAAUAAACAGAAGCUAUAGCCAGGUCGGCAUGGCUUGGUGGUUGAGUGUCAGCAUAUGAAACAGGAGGUCACGGUUUGAUUCACACGCUCA